GUCACGCCUCCCGAGACUGGGGCUGUGCGGCCUCACGGAGAAACUGAGGCAGGCGCGAAGCGUCGAGUGCGCGCGUGGCCCUGCAGGCAGGCGGAGACCCUGGUGGCUCCCAUACACGUAACAGCACUCACUGCUCUUUGACGUUAGUGAAUAGACCGUAAGCUCCCUGGAGCAGGGACCUUAUCCCAGCGUCUACCGCGGCGCCCGUCACCUAGUAGGUCUCCGUCAUUACCUGCUGAGUAGGGCGCGGGCUGGUGGGGCUUACCGAGCACCCUCGCUGUCUGAGUCAUUAAGCAAACCCGGAGGCUUGUCGUGGGUGUGGGUCCCCUUCCAUCUGAGAACGAAUGGGAUGAGUUUCUGGAGAGACUUGGCCGGAGAAGGGCCGGGGCAGCUCGGGAAGUAGUCUGCCUCACAGAAGAAUUCAGGAAGGCCUCCUGGGAGAGUACCUUUGUGCCGAGCCUUGAUAGAUUCUGGCGAGAAGGAAUGAGGGAACAGGUUGAGGAGACUGUUGUGGGCAAAGCAUGGCGGUGUGAUUGCCUAAGAUCGGUGUGGGAAAGGGGGAUAACGGGUAGGGCAAGGGAUGCUGGGGCUGGGGGUUGGAAUUUACUUUCAGGCAUCUGUAGUCAGUAGGUAUGAUGUCAUCUAAGAGAAACAGACUUAAUGCUGUGAGCAUUUAGCAGGGAGGAGGUGGGCACGCCUUGUGGGAUCAGGCAAGGUUUCAUGGAGCUAAACCUUGACCAGGACAGGUAGAAGUUGAGGGUACAUAUGUGGCAAGAUGCUUUUUUGCUUUUAAUUUAGGUGUCAACUAUUUGGAUUUUUCCAUUCUCACCCAUUUCUAGCAGAUAAUCAGGUUUUGUACAUUCUUGGCUCAGAAAGUUGGACAGGACAGGAAGUCUUUUUUGGAAUACAAACCCACUGGUGGAAAAUUCAAAGGACUACUGGGAACAGGCAGGUAACUUCAGUGAAGUGGUCUAGGUGUGACAUCACUUGAUAUCCAUCCCCCACCAAAAAGGGGAAAAAGAAGACAUUGACUCUUUAUUCAGAGUCUGAAAUGCAACCCAUCUUCACUUCCAGGACCCACUGAUGAUCUCUUCUGGAGUUUUGGCCUGAAGCUAAAACUGGCAGCCCCUGGACUAAGUUCAGCAUAUAGACUAGAUCCGAUAUUUAGCCAUUAUGCACCCUGCACCAUAUUGAUGGUUAAAAUGUUGAAAUAUUUCGAGGGUAAAUAGUAUAGUAAUUACAAUAAAUAUUACAAUUAGUUAAUAGAAAUUUUAAUAUAAACUCAUUGGUUUGUGCUAAUAGUUGUAGGAUGUCAGUACCAUUGAUAACAGGCCUCCUGUUGUUUCCACAUUAUGACACAAUCUGGCCUGUGUCACUGCAGGGACUGCAGCCAAGUUACGUGUGUUAAAUCACUGAUUGCUUUAGGAGAAUCACUAGUUUAAAAUAUUUUUAUUGGACUGGGUGCAGUGGCUCACACCAGUAAUCCCAGCACUUCGGGAGGCCAAGGCAAGAGGAUCACUUGAGCCCAGGAGUGCAAGACCAGCCUGGGCAACAUGGCAAAACCCUGUCUCUAGAAAAAAAUACAGAAAAAAAUUAGCUAGGCAUGGUGGCGCAUGCCUGUAGUCCCAGCUACUGGAAAGGCUGAGGUGGGAGGAUCCCUUGAGCCUGGGAGGUCGAGGCUGCAGUGAGCUGAGAUCUCACCACUGCACUUCAGCCUGGGUGACGACAGAGUGAGACUCUGUCUCAAAAAAUAAUAAAAUAUUUCUAUUGUAAGCACAUACAUUAAUUCUUCGGAAAAUAGGUAUGCAGUGUUUUAUAUUUAUACAUUUAAGAUUUUAUUAUAGGAUAUUAGAAACAUCCACCUAGAAUGAAAGAGACCACAAAAAUCUGGAUGAAUUUUCAAUACUUUUAAGUAUGAUAAAUGUAAAUCUUGAUAUCUGCAGAAGAAUAAACAAGAAAUUUGUAAUAAUAAUGAAUCCCCGCCUGGAACUUCUUUUGAUACUGUUUAAGAAUCAGCACAAAAUAAAAUUUAUAAUUUAUAAGAUAAACUUUAUUACAUAAAAUCUAUAGUUUUGUAGUGAAAAAAUAAUUUUUUUCAACCAAAAAUUUGACAUUGCUAGUGACAGAAAUGUUGGGUACUGAGUGCUCAGAAGUUCUAUUGUUAAAAGAUCAAAGUGUUAAACAUAUAUUCAUCAGAAUGCUCUUAAAGCUUGUGCAAGUGAAGAAAAAUUGUGAUUAUCGAUGAGAAAAGAACUUAAAAGAAUAUAAUCAGUUUCAUAAAUUAAGUAUUUGAAAACUUAGAACUCCCAAAAAGGUUAUCAGAGUGAGGAUAAAGCAAUCAAAAAGAUUUAGGGCCAAGCUUGGUGGCUCAUGAAAUCCCAGCACUUUGGGAAGCCAAGGUGGGCAGAUCACUUGAGGCCAGGAGUUCGAGACCAGCCUGGCCAACAUGGUGAAAUCUCGCCUCUACUAAAAAUAAAAAAUUAGCUGAGCAUGGUGGUGCGUGCCUGUAGUCCCAACUACUCAGGAGGCUGAGACAUGAGAAUGGCUAGAACCCUGGGGGGUGGAGGUUGCAGUAAACCGAGAUCUCAUCACUGCACUCCAGCCUGGGCAACAGAGCGAGACUCUGUCUCAAAAAAAAAAAAAAAAAAAAAAAAAGAUUUAGAAGGUACUGUCAGAAUUUUUAGCACUAUUAUAUAGUUAAGUAUAAUUGAGCAUUUCACACACAUUUACUAGAACUUCAAAAGGAUUAAUAUUGAUAUGAACACGCCAUUGUAUUCUGGACCCACCUGUUAAAAACCAGAUGUACCCAAAUGAGAAAACAGCUUUUUGAAAAAUAUGUAAAUCAAAGAGGUGUAUUUAAAAUCAUCAUCUAAGAAGCUUCAUUUUUUUAUGUGAAUGUGUUUUAAUAAUUAAAAUGCAAAUUUAAAGGUUUUUGAAUAUAAUGGUUUUUGUUGAUCUUAUGACACUGGGAAACAUUUAGUACACUGUAUUGUCUUUAUUAUGAGUACACAAGAAAGAAUUACAUUUGAGAUAUAGUUCCAUAAAGAUGUAAUUGGAAUAUUGUACCAAAUAAGAAAAUUGUCAUUGGAUUUUAUACAAAAAAUGCUAAUGUAAUUCUAGAGAGAGUAUGGAGUUUCAGCCAAAAGUUUAGGAAAAAUGUGGAUGUUUUAAUUUGGCACUAAAUUAUCAAAUUUAAUUUUGGAUAAACCAAUACAAGUCAGGGAACUCAUGCUUUUCUUGAUAAACUAUAUUUACUACCACACACCAAGUAGCAGAAAUAACUACAUUAAGUAAUGCAAAUUGAACCUUGAUGGACAAGCCUGCAGUGCUAGAUCUGCAAAAGCAAUGUGGAAGUCGGUAAGUUCUGCAUUCAAAUGCUCUACCCCUGAGCUAUAUACCCGCUGUGGUGGAAGUCAGUAAGUUCUGUAUGUUCACUGUAAUGGAAACAAAUGCAGUGGCUGUUUGAAAAAUAUAUUUUAAAGAGUUUGGGCCUUAAUAAAUGAUAUUUUAAUGGAGAUGUCAGUAUUUAGAGUUUUUUUGUUUUGUUUUGAGAUGAAGUCUCGCUCUGUUGCCCAGGCUGGAGUGCAGUGGCGCGAUCUCAGCUCACUGCAACCUCCAUCUCCUGAGUUUAAGUGAUUCUCCUGCCUCAGCCUUCCAAGUAGCUGGAAUUACAGGCGUGCGCCACCACACCUGGCUAAUUUUUGUAUUUUUAGUAGAGAUGGAGUUUUGCCAUGUUGGCCAGGCUGGUCUCAAACUUCUGACCUCAAGUGAUCUGCCCACUUCUGCCUCCCAAAGUGCUGGGAUUAUAGGCGUGAGCCACCGUGCCCAGCAGUAUUUAUUUUAGCUUUAUAAGAAAACAUAUUUUAGCUAUUAGAGCUGACAUUAUUUCAAUAAACUGUAAAGCAGUUGGACAUAUGUAAACAAAGGGAAGUUUGAAACAAGUGGAAGUUAUUAUGGAUAAGAAAAAAUAGGUAUCCUGUUUGAAAAAAAAAGUGAAGUAUCAAUUCCAAGAGAAAAAUUAUUGGCUUUUCUAAUAAAUCAAUGUAUUUGGUGACAAAAGUGAAAAAUGUAAUAAACUUUUAAGCCCUUUCAAUUUUUUGAAUCUUGAAAUAAAGCCCCCUGGUUUGUGAAGCUCCGUGAAUUGAGAGUGAACAGAACAUAGUGAAUAAGCCAGUAAGUUAAAAGAUAUUUCAAUAAGUGAUUUGUGUGACUUAGUCAAUAACAGAUAUUGAAUCAGUUCUGUAUGUUCUUAGACUUUAUUAUAGUCUAUAAAAUGUUUAAAUUUAAUUGCUAUUAAUAAGAAACUGAGGAUUCAACACUAAAAACAGUAUCAUUGAUGUUAAGGAAAUUCUCUGCUUAAUUCAUUUAAUGAUUAUCCAUUUAAUGAGGAAGUUGUUGGAACAAUUUGAUGUUGCUUCCUAUGUCAAAUCAUCACUCCAUACAGGGGCA
rnacentral:lncRNA from 1 species